GUGAGUGGGAUGCCAAUUGAAGGGUGUGCAAAAUGAACCCAUCAGGCCGAGCGAUUUGGUCCGGUUUACUUUUGUCUAAUGGGUUUAAGGGUUAUCUAACAUUUUGGAAAACCAAACAGCUUCCAAUUUGGUUUGAGUUACAGCUUUAAAAAAAGGUCACGUCAGUAAAUAUGUAGUAGUACACAUAUAACGUGGGAAUUAAACUAUUUGGACACGUACAUUUGAUGUUUAAGAUGCAUAAAUCAAUCUACAAUUUUUGUCAACCAACCAAAGUUGUUGACGGCAGACCCAAAAGAGGCCCCGCGGCACAAUUGACUGCCAUGUGAAUUGUGAUCGGAGGCUGCUGCGGGAGCAUAGCAAGAUGUUGCUGGUUGACGAUGGACGGUUCGGAUGUUGCGAUGGAGCGACUUCCGUGCUACUGCUCCAGAUCGUCGAAGACGGCCGACGGAAAUGGAAGGGUGGUGGUGGAGGAGGUGGGAAGGGGAAUCCGCCGCCAUUCGAUACUUCUCUCGUUACCCUCUCAAGAUCAUUCUACCCAACAAGGUCUAGUCCUCGUCGCCGCCACCGCCACCGCCGCUGUCUUUACACUUCUUUACGCGGGCCAUUCCCCCUCCAUCCAUUUACUUUCAUCUCCACCGAUCGACGGCUGAUCUUCGAUCUCACUCUUGGUCAAAAUGCGAUGAUUUAGCCGUUUCCUUUUCUUUCCCCUUUUGAUAGCGAGAUGGAGCCUCGUCGGCGACGGUGCAUCGUACGCUUCUACCAAGGCCUACGAGUCCGGAAUCGAAUCAUUCAGUGCAAAUUUUGCAGGUAAUUUAAUUCCAGAAACACGAAGCUGAUCACAGAAUUGAAUUUUGGUAUGGUUUCAUUGUUCAUGUUGAAUUUAAUGACUGGUACAUAUCUUUUGUUGUUUAAGUAUGCUCCUACUUUAUCAACUGAAUUCAAUUAAUUCCUUCACUUUGAACAGUAAUUAUUAGUGAUUUUCAUAUGUGCAAUAGGUUAGAGUAACAACUGGAUACUCCCAGACUUGUAUUCUGAUUCCAGAUACGUCAUUGUCGAUUGGGCUACCAGUGAAUUAAAAUUAAUGAGUUAAAAUUGAAGAAAAUUAUAUGGGGUUUUACCGUUCUGUCAGACCAAUCACUACCUGAACUGAUCGAGUCUUGUAUGUCCUUUCGUUAUAUAAAAUAGUCUAGGAUGAUUCAUUUAUGAACCAUUAAAUCCAAAACAAAAUUCUAUGAAAUAAAAAAAUUUUGAUUCUAGAUUAUAUUGAUAAUUUAAAAAAAAAACUACUAGGAUGACAGUUGGGUGGAUAUAGGUGGAUAUGCCCUUAUCGUUUAGUGAUUUAAGACAUCAUUCUAAGACCGUAGAGAUUCAAAUUCUCCUUUCGUUAUUUAAAAAUCGUUGAUUAUAAAUAAUCAAUAAGCCCAAAAGAAAUUCUUUCUAGAUUGAUGCCCAAGCAAUUAGUAGAGACGAAUCAUAAAUUCGUUCUUGUUAGGUAUUAAGAAUCUUUAGAGUUAGGUAUCAUCAACCAUCCAGAAUUUCGUAAACGGAUUAAUCAGCGAACUCAUUUUAUAAUGAGUACAUGUAUUGUAUCUCUAGUGUCCCUAUACGAGUAACUAUGAGACUAAUCACCUCCAUCGUAUGGAUGGAUAUAUAUUACACCAAUUUGUCUAGUUAUCUCGAUAUAUCUCUUAAUUAACUUAUGACCAGAAUUAUUUAUGGUCUGUGUUGAAAUGUAAAGGUGAAUCAGUCUCAAUAUCAUGAUCUUAUUAUAAUCUUAUUCUUAUUGCAUGGAUC